GAGGGUACAGCUCAAAAUGCUAGAGUGCAUGCUUAGCAUGCACAAGGUCCUGGGUUCAAUCCCCAGUACCUCCU
rfam:Camelus ferus unplaced genomic scaffold scaffold471, whole genome shotgun sequence.